CGCAGCCGCGGUAAUUCCAGCUCCAAUAGCGUAUAUUAAAGUUGUUGCAGUUAAAAAGCUCGUAGUUGAAUUUUGGGUUUGGCCAAUUGGUCCGUUCUUGUAACGAGUACUGGUUGGUUGGGCCUCACCGCCUGGUGAUACGUAAUGUCCUUUAUUGGGUGUUGCGAGUAGCCAGGACCUUUACCUUGAAAAAAUUAGAGUGUUUAAAGCAGGCUUAUGCCGGAAUACAUUAGCAUGGAAUAAUAGAAUAGGACGAUGAUUCUAUUUUGUUGGUUUCUAGGAGCAUCGUAAUGAUUAAUAGGGAUAGUUGGGGGCAUUAGUAUUCAAUUGUCAGAGGUGAAAUUCUUGGAUUUAUUGAAGACUAACUACUGCGAAAGCAUUUGCCAAGGAUGUUUUCAUUAAUCAAGAACGAAAGUUAGGGGAUCGAAGACGAUCAGAUACCGUCGUAGUCUUAACCAUAAACUAUGCCGACUAGGGAUCGGGCGAUGUUGUUUCAAUGACUCG
rnacentral:rRNA from 1 species